GAAAAGGCACCUGAAAUCCCUCUUUUUCCACCCACCCACAAUGGAAAGGUCAUGUGAAGACACAGCAAGAAGGUGACAGUCUGCAAGCCAGGAAGAGAGGCUCCACCAGAAAGCAACCCUGCCCACCCUUGGAUCUUGGACUUCCAGCCUCCAGAAGUGUUUCAUCCCUCACUCCCUGCUGCUGACCUUGCUCCUUAUUUCACUAAUAGAGGCCACCAGGAGAGAAUUCCACAGCUCCUGCUAUCCAACCUGCCUGUCUGCCAGCAUCUGUCCACAGGCACUCUGUCUUCUCUCCCCGGUUGGCGGUGCCCUCACUCUGCUCCUGCAUUCUCCAAAUGGCACUGAUAUUCACUCGUUAGUGGAUAAUUGUUGUCAUGGUUUGGAGAUGCUGUAUUAUCUCCCAACCCCCACCCCCCCCAAACCAGAAAACAGAACAAGCAGCUUGAAAGAUCACCCUGAUAAAAACGAUCUACAAUCCACAACCUGAAGAUUGAAUAUACUUCAAAGUUCAUCAGAGGAAAGAAGCAUCAAUCAAACUCCCCUGAAGGGAAUCGUCCCAGCUUGGACGUACCACCCACGUAUCCUGGCCCAGGCUUCCCACCUCAAGAGCACACGGGCGCCAGUGACAGCUUUUUAUGCCUACUUCAUGGACUUUUAACCUUAGCCUUAAGAGCAUCUUGGUGUACAUUUUAUAUUGGCUCCGUAUUUGCUCUCUAGGUGCCAACUGACACUUAUCCUAACAAAGGAGUCUGGGAAUGGGCCAAUUUCUGAGCAACAUACGAAAUUGCAACGUUAAAGGAGUAAUUCUGCCACUAGCCUCUCUUUUGCAAGGAAAAAACUUAAGCAAAUUAACAAUUUUUCCCCACUGGAUGAAGAGGGCCUUGCUCAAUUCUUACCUCAAAAUUUAAAAACACAGGGAGUGUGUUGGCCCCCUCUCUUUUGGCGAAGAGACCAAAUGAUGGGGUCAGUAUU